rnacentral:rRNA from 1 species
UACAGGGGGUGCAAACGUUGCUCGGAAUCAUUGGGCGUAAAGCGCACGUAGGCGGUCUGUUAUGUCGGAUGUGAAAGCCCUUGGCUUAACUGAGGAAGUGCAUCCGAAACUGGCAGGCUAGAGUACUAAAGAGGGUCGCGGAAUUCACGGUGUAGCAGUGAAAUGCGUAGAUAUCGUGAGGAAGACCAGUGGCGAAGGCGAAUCUCUGGACAGUAACUGACGCUGAGGCACGAAGGCUAGGGGAGCAAACGGG